CACUAGGAGAGAAUCAUGACACGUGUACAAACGAUAUCGGUCAAGCCUGGCAACGGGGACAUUUCUGUAUAUACCCACACACAAAAGAGAAACAAGAAAAGAGAGAACGAUGAACACGCAAGUAGCGGCUCUUAUGAUUCUGGUGGCUUUGUCUUCCACCUUGGAUAUGGUGACGGUAACGGAGGCUCAAGUAAACUGCAUCGACAGUUGCACCACCGGCUGCGUCAAGCCUACCCCAAAAGAGACGAUCCGAUGCCACCACGAAUGCGACAAAAAGUGCAGCCGAGGUGGUAAAGGGGGAAGUGAGACUGGCGCUUAAACUUUAUUUCACUGAAAUCCAUAAAGAUUAUGUUGUAGUCUCAUCUUUAUAAUCGUAUCUCCCUAAAACGUUAUGUUGUAACCAAUAAAUCAAGUGUUGUAGUUCAUUGUUAAGUUAAAAUGGUAAAGGAUUUGUCCUGUGGGUCAAAUCCUUCCACUGACUAUGGGCCUCUGUGUCGGCUAUCUAAAUAGUCUAUGUAAACGCUCUAAAGGCAAGAUUAUAAGGUUUUCGACA